CGUCAAUUUAUGUUAACUCGUAUUGUAUGUAUACCCAACUGAAAGGGCCGCGAGACAAGCGUUUGGGCAGCUCCCUGUUUAUGAAAGAAAAUUCUAAAAUGAGGCUUAAACCAAACAGGGAUGUUGUUUUACUUUUCUGUCUUGGCUUUCUUUGUUUCAGCCAAAUAUGCUGUGUAAGCCUCGAAAUCAUGCGAAGACAAGAGAGACACCGAGAGGGAAAAAAACGAUGAUGUUCGAGUGGGUACCAUUAUGUUCGGCAGAGAUAUUCCUGAUUUUGGCCCAGUGAAAAAUGAGGAUGGCUUUAACAUUCAAGCCGACGCUGCUGGGCUGGUUGGAGGACAAGGUGUCAUUAAUGACUCCAGUUCUUCUAAGGCAGCCUGGGCUAGUAUGCGACCAAUUGUGUUAUGUACUGAGGACCUCAUGAAGUUCUCGGCACAAGGCCCAGGAUCCUCUUCACUUCAGCUAGACAGAGCAGGAGGAACACCGCUUAAGCUAAACCAGCUGCCGCAGGACUGUGGCUACUCUGUGUACAGGAAUGUACUGGGCCUUGUGUUUCUCAUCCCCUAUGAUGGUUGUGAUGUUAUAAAUCAGGGUGGCAACCAUUUGCUCCAGAUGUUAUGGCAAGGCAAUCCAGUCACCCUUUCUUGCCCUAUGUCAACCCAAGCCUCUCAAUCUCCUAUGGAUCCACCACUAAUCCAUCCACCCGCUCCCACUACUGAAGCUCCAACUACUACAGAAGCAACUUCAUCCACUGCCUCUAAGCUUCCCCCACAAGAUCAGCAGCAGCAGCAGCAGCAACAGCAACAGUUGAUGCAGCAGCAGCAGCAACAGUUGAUGCAGCAGCAGCAGCAACAGUUGAAGCAGCAGCAGCAGCAAGAAUUGAUGCACUCUUACUUCAUGUACCCAGGAUACAGAAACCCUUUCAUGCCAGUGAAGGCUCCCUACCAAACUACUGCAGCUCCCACUACUACAGAAGCAACUUCAUCCACUACAGAAGCAACUUCAUCCACUGCCUGUAAGCUUCCCCAACAUCAGCAGCAAUACUCUAACCCUUUCAUGCCAUCGAAGGCUCCCUGCCAACCUACUGAAGUGGCUUCAACCACGUUCAAGCAAAAUCAAGUCUUGCAGCAGCGGCAGUUAACGGACAUUGACCUUUUCUCACGACCCAUGCCAGCUAAGGCUUCACCAUCCACUGCUGCUCCAACGACCACUCCAUCAGAACUGCCAACCGUCUGCCCUCACAAAAAAUUAGAGUCUGCAGGAGAUUUCUAACUACAAUGAACCCCUCAAACCUUUUUAUAUGCAACUUUGUGGCAAUAAAUACAAUUGUUUAAGCA
rnacentral:lncRNA from 1 species